rnacentral:rRNA from 1 species
UACGGAGGGUGCAAGCGUUAUCCGGAUUUACUGGGUUUAAAGGGUUUGUAGGCGGCUUUUUAAGUCAGAGGUGAAAUCUCCAGGCUCAACCUGGAAACUGCCCCUGAUACUAUUAGUCUUGAAUAUUGAUGAGGUGGGCGGAACGGGUCAUGUAGCGGUGAAAUGCUUAGAGAUGACCCAGAACACCAAUGGCGAAGGCAGCUCACUGGGCAAUUAUUGACGCUGAGGCACGAAAGCGUGGGGAGCAAACAGG